AUACGUAGGUGGCGAGCGUUGUCCGGAUUUACUGGGUGUAAAGGGCGCGUAGGCGGGAUGGCAAGUCAGAUGUGAAAUCUGAGGGCUUAACCCUCAAACUGCAUUUGAAACUGCUGUUCUUGAGUGAUGGAGAGGCAGGCGGAAUUCCUAGUGUAGCGGUGAAAUGCGUAGAUAUUAGGAGGAACACCAGUGGCGAAGGCGGCCUGCUGGACAUUAACUGACGCUGAGGCGCGAAAGCGUGGGGAGCAAACAGGAUUAGAUACCCUGGUAGUCCACGCUGUAAACGAUGAAUACUAGGUGUGGGGGGACUGACCCCCUCCGUGCCGGAGUUAACACAAUAAGUAUUCCACCUGGGGAGUACGAUCGCAAGGUUGAA
rnacentral:rRNA from 1 species